GUGGUAAUGCCGGAUGUUCCACAUGAUCGCAUGUGAUUGUGGGAAAGAUUUCAUCGGCGUGGGAUGGGGUCGCGUCCUAUCAGCUUGUUGGUGAGGUAACGGCUCACCAAGGCUUCGACGGGUAGCCGGCCUGAGAGGGCGACCGGCCACAUUGGGACUGAGAUACGGCCCAGACUCCUACGGGAGGCAGCAGUGGGGAAUAUUGCACAAUGGGCGCAAGCCUGAUGCAGCGACGCCGCGUGAGGGAUGGAGGCCUUCGGGUUGUAAACCUCUUUUGUUUGGGAGCAAGCCUUCGGGUGAGUGUACCUUUCGAAUAAGCGCCGGCUAACUACGUGCCAGCAGCCGCGGUAAUACGUAGGGCGCAAGCGUUAUCCGGAUUUAUUGGGCGUAAAGGGCUCGUAGGCGGCUCGUCGCGUCCGGUGUGAAAGUCCAUCGCUUAACGGUGGAUCUGCGCCGGGUACGGGCGGGCUGGAGUGCGGUAGGGGAGACUGGAAUUCCCGGUGUAACGGUGGAAUGUGUAGAUAUCGGAAAA
rnacentral:rRNA from 1 species